GAUGAAGAACGUAGCGAAAUGCGAUAAGUAAUGUGAAUUGCAGAAUUCAGUGAAUCAUCGAAUCUUUGAACGCACAUUGCGCCCCCUGGUAUUCCGGGGGGCAUGCCUGUUCGAGCGUCAUUUCACCACUCAAGCCUCGCUUGGUAUUGGGCAACGCGGUCCGCCGCGUGCCUCAAAUCGACCGGCUGGGUCUUCUGUCCCCUAAGCGUUGUGGAAACUAUUCGCUAAAGGGUGUUCGGGAGGCUACGCCGUAAAACAACCCCAUUUCUAAGGUUGACCUCGGAUCAGGUAGGGAUACCCGCUGAACUUAAGCAUAUCAAUAACGGAGGA
rnacentral:misc_RNA from 1 species